rnacentral:rRNA from 1 species
AUUGAACGCUGGCGGCAUGCCUUACACAUGCAAGUCGAACGGCAGCGCGGGGCAACCUGGCGGCGAGUGGCGAACGGGUGAGUAAUAUAUCGGAACGUACCCUGGAGUGGGGGAUAACGUAGCGAAAGUUACGCUAAUACCGCAUACGAUCUAAGGAUGAAAGUGGGGGAUUCGCAAGAACCUCAUGCUCCUGGAGCGGCCGAUAUCUGAUUAGCUAGUUGGUAGGGUAAAAGCCUACCAAGGCAUCGAUCAGUAGCUGGUCUGAGAGGACGACCAGCCACACUGGAACUGAGACACGGUCCAGACUCCUACGGGAGGCAGCAGUGGGGAAUUUUGGACAAUGGGCGCAAGCCUGAUCCAGCAAUGCCGCGUGAGUGAAGAAGGCCUUCGGGUUGUAAAGCUCUUUUGUCGGGGAAGAAACGGGUUUUUCUAAUACAGAGACCUAAUGACGGUACCUGAAGAAUAAGCACCGGCUAACUACGUGCCAGCAGCCGCGGUAAUACGUAGGGUGCAAGCGUUAAUCGGAAUUACUGGGCGUAAAGCGUGCGCAGGCGGUUUUGUAAGACUGUCGUGAAAUCCCCGGGCUCAACCUGGGAAUGGCGAUGGUGACUGCAAGGCUAGAGUUUGGCAGAGGGGGGUAGAAUUCCACGUGUAGCAGUGAAAUGCGUAGAUAUGUGGAGGAACACCGAUGGCGAAGGCAGCCCCCUGGGUCAAAACUGACGCUCAUGCACGAAAGCGUGGGGAGCAAACAGGAUUAGAUACCCUGGUAGUCCACGCCCUAAACGAUGUCUACUAGUUGUCGGGUUUUAAUUAACUUGGUAACGCAGCUAACGCGUGAAGUAGACCGCCUGGGGAGUACGGUCGCAAGAUUAAAACUCAAAGGAAUUGACGGGGACCCGCACAAGCGGUGGAUGAUGUGGAUUAAUUCGAUGCAACGCGAAAAACCUUACCUACCCUUGACAUGGCAGAGAUCCCGGAGAGAUUCGGGAGUGCUCGAAAGAGAAUCUGCACACAGGUGCUGCAUGGCUGUCGUCAGCUCGUGUCGUGAGAUGUUGGGUUAAGUCCCGCAACGAGCGCAACCCUUGUCAUUAGUUGCUACGAAAGAGCACUCUAAUGAGACUGCCGGUGACAAACCGGAGGAAGGUGGGGAUGACGUCAAGUCCUCAUGGCCCUUAUGGGUAGGGCUUCACACGUCAUACAAUGGUACAUACAGAGGGCCGCCAACCCGCGAGGGGGAGCUAAUCCCAGAAAGUGUAUCGUAGUCCGGAUUGUAGUCUGCAACUCGACUGCAUGAAGUUGGAAUCGCUAGUAAUCGCGGAUCAGCAUGUCGCGGUGAAUACGUUCCCGGGUCU